GAUUCCCUUAGUAGCGGCGAGCGAAACGGGAAGAGCCCAAACCAACAAGCUUGCUUGUUGGGGUUGUAGGACACUCUAUACGGAGUUACAAAGGACGACAUUAGACGAAUCAUCUGGAAAGAUGAAUCAAAGAAGGUAAUAAUCCUGUAGUCGAAAAUGUUGUCUCUCUUGAGUGGAUCCUGAGUACGACGGAGCACGUGAAAUUCCGUCGGAAUCUGGGAGGACCAUCUCCUAAGGCUAAAUACUCUCUAGUGACCGAUAGUGAACCAGUACCGUGAGGGAAAGGUGAAAAGCACCCCGGAAGGGGAGUGAAAUAGAACCUGAAACCGUGUGCUUACAAGUAGUCAGAGCCCGUUAAUGGGUGAUGGCGUGCCUUUUGUAGAAU
rnacentral:rRNA from 1 species